rnacentral:sRNA from 1 species
UGAAAAGGGUGAGAGAGAGUAAACAGGGACAAGGGACAAGAUUGUGUUUAUGCCAAGAAUAAGAUGGGCUUCCUUACCUGUUCCUUAAGUUUGAAAGUCUGAUGUGUCACAGUUGUGUGUGUGUGUGUGUGUGUGUGUGUGUGUUUGCAAGGACUAUUUCAA